GACGAACGCUGGCGGCGUGCUUAACACAUGCAAGUCGAACGGAAAGGCCCUGCUUUUGUGGGGUGCUCGAGUGCCGAACGGGUGAGUAACACGUGAGUGACCUGCCCUUGACUUUGGGAUAACUUCAGGAAACUGGGGCUAAUACCGGAUAGGAGCUCCUGCUGCAUGGUGGGGGUUGGAAAGUUUCGGCGGUUGGGGAUGGACUCGCGGCUUAUCAGCUUGUUGGUGGGGUAGUGGCUUACCAAGGCUUUGACGGGUAGCCGGCCUGAGAGGGUGACCGGCCACAUUGGGACUGAGAUACGGCCCAGACUCCUACGGGAGGCAGCAGUGGGGAAUAUUGCACAAUGGGCGGAAGCCUGAUGCAGCAACGCCGCGUGCGGGAUGACGGCCUUCGGGUUGUAAACCGCUUUCGCCUGUGACGAAGCGUGAGUGACGGUAAUGGGUAAAGAAGCACCGGCUAACUACGUG
rnacentral:rRNA from 1 species